CGGACGGGUGAGUAACGCGUGAGAAUCUGCCCUCAGGAGGGGGAUAACGGCUGGAAACGGCCGCUAAUACCCCAUAUGCCGAGAGGUGAAAUGAAUUUCGCCUGAGGAUGAGCCCGCGUCUGAUUAGCUAGUUGGUGGGGUAAGAGCCUACCAAGGCGACGAUCAGUAGCUGGUCUGAGAGGAUGAUCAGCCACACUGGGACUGAGACACGGCCCAAACUCCUACGGGAGGCAGCAGUGGGGAAUUUUCCGCAAUGGGCGAAAGCCUGACGGAGCAACGCCGCGUGAGGGACGAAGGCCUCUGGGCUGUAAACCUCUUUUCUCAAGGAAGAAGAUCUGACGGUACUUGAGGAAUAAGCCACGGCUAAUUCCGUGCCAGCAGCCGCGGUAAUACGGGAGUGGCAAGCGUUAUCCGGAAUUAUUGGGCGUAAAGCGUCCGCAGGCGGCUUUGUAAGUCUGCUGUCAAAGCGUGGAGCUUAACUCCAUUUCGGCAGUGGAAACUACGAGGCUUGAGUGUGGUAGGGGCAGAGGGAAUUCCCGGUGUAGCGGUGAAAUGCGUAGAUAUCGGGAAGAACACCAGUGGCGAAGGCGCUCUGCUGGGCCAUAACUGACGCUCAUGGACGAAAGCCAGGGGAGCGAAAGGGAUUAGAUACCCCUGUAGUC
rnacentral:rRNA from 1 species